UCUUCCUUCCGUUGGUUCACUCCCCAAAUGGCCGCCACUGCCGGUGCUGCACCAAUCCGAAGCCAGGAGCCAGGUGCUUCUUCCCGGUCUCUCGUGCAGGUGCAGGGGCACAAGCAGCUGGACCAUCCUCCACUCCCUUCCCGGGCCACAGCAGAGAGCUGGACUGGAAGAGGAGCAACCAGGACUAGAAUCCCGUACCCAUUUGGGAUGCCAGUGCUGCAGGCAGAGGAUUAACGAAGUGAGCCACUGCGCUGGCCCGCUUCUACCUGUUUUAUAAAGUGACUUUAGAUUUUGAUUGAAACAAAAAGUUUUGCUACUAAAAUUAUUCUAAGGCUCUUGAUCUGGUUUAACUUCCUUAUGAAAGUUGGGGCACAGAGACAUUGAAUACCUUGCUCAAGGACUUAUGACUGAGGGGGACAGGCCCAGAGGUUACUUCAGAUGUCCUGGUUCUGCCAGAGACUACUGUCCGUCUCCCCUCUGUCCUCACCUGUUGCACUGCAGGGACAGUGACUGAGAACCUGUAGUAAGACUUAGCUCACUGCCUGCUGCUGUGUCUCGACAGUGAACAAGAGGAGGCAGGAAUACUUUCACUGUGCCUCCUGGUUGUCUGUUUGUUGAGCCCUUGAGCUGCAAAUCUAAAGUUGGCCAACACUUAACCCAUGACAACUAAAAGUCCAAGAAAGGGUUAACUUUGUCACUUGUCCAGAUGAUUCAGGGCUCUCCUCGCUUUCCAUUCAACCCAAAGCGUGUAGUGCCGGCCAGAGAAGACUCUACGUUUAUCAAACUGGUCUAGAGUGACUCAAGCAUUUUACAGGAGACACAACAUGUGUGGGGAACAUAGUGUACUUAUAGACAUCAGUUCUGGCCAAGGCAAUGUGUGGGCAUCAUAUAAGCCAGCACAGCUCAAAGCUAAAAUCACAUAGGCCCUGAGGUCUACCUGUGGGCUCCUUGCUUCCACCUGAUACGCUCCUUACGCGGUGGAAGAGGUCGCCCACCCAUCCUCUUCCCCAUCACCUACACCAGCUGCGCUCCACCUGGUGCUCAACCUCAUGGUUGUCGCUUCCCCACUAGCCCAGGCUGUAAUUUAGAUGAAUAACAGUCGCAGGGAAGCUGGGGCACCGCAUCCUCUCCUUACUCCCAAGCCUGCUUCCUGGAGUGUGACACCCUGUGGCCUGCACGGUGUGGGGUCUCCUCCUCCCAGGCUGUGAGUGCCUCUGAGGGUUGAUGUCAUUUCUCUGGUGUCCAAACCCACCCUAGGGCAGGACUCCCUACUGACAGGGCGAAGAGGAGGCAAUCAAAACGGCGACGAGACGUGACUGCUAGGAUGACAUGGAAUCUUCGCAGAGAACGAGUGCCAAACAGCUCAUCCGUUGGAGUUCUACCCACGGCAGAGUGGACAGUGAGAGAGAGAGACAGAGAGAAAGUUCUUCCUUUGCCGUUGGUUCACCCUCCAAUGGCCACCGCGGCCGAGGAGCUGCGGCUGGCGCACCGCCCUGAUCCGAAGCCAGGAGCCAGGUACAUUGUAGAAUAAACACAAAGGAAAGAUGACAGUGAAUGGAACAGUAAGGUGAAUAUUUUAAAGCAAUCGGUCUUCAACACUAACUUUGUUUCCAACUGGAACUUCAGUCCAGCUGUGUACUCUCAGCAAAGAGCCAGUGUCUUCUAUCUUCUGGGUAUUUAAACUUCUUAUGGUUAUGGACUAUACUUCUCCAAUUCUAGAUAUCAUUGCACCUCCAAGACAGGUCUAAAAGCUUCACAUACAAGAGUAGGAUCCUGAAUUGAAAGUGAACCAAGGGGCCAGCAUCAUGGCGCAGUAGGUUAAUCCUCCGCCUGCAGUGCCAGCAUCCCAUAUGGACACCAGUUCGAGUCCCAGCUGCUCCGCUUCCAAUCAAGAUCUCUACUCUGGCCUGGGAAAACAAUGGAAGAUGGCCUGAGUGCUUGGGCCCCUGUACCUGCGUGGGAGACUGGGAAGAAGCGCCUGGCUCCUGGCUACAGGUUGGCAAAGCUCCAGCCACUACAGCCAUUUGGAGAAUGAACCAACAGAAGGAAGACCUCUCUCUGUCUCUCCCUCUCACUGUUCUGUAACUCUAUCUCACAAAUAAGUGAAUAAAAUCUUAAAAAAAAAAAGAAAGUGAAGCUAGAUAUCUAAAAUUAAGACGUUCAGGAGCAUCAGGUCAUGUUCUACUCCCUAACCUCCCAGUCAGGACAUAGGCAUUUACCUAACUGGGUAUGGAAUAAAGAAAGCCUGUGCAAAGUCUGGCAGCUGAGGCCAACUUUUUGGUUUGUGCAGUUGAUGCUUAUUGAUCUGUAUACAUUUUCCCGCUGGUUCACUGCACUGAGUAUCACAAUUCAGGGCUAGCCAUGAAUAUAAAUUGGCUCAUGUUGAUUAGACUCAUGCCUGGCAAUCCCGAGUGAGAUACAGAUUACAGGUGCUGAUCCUUAGGCUGGCAUUCCUUCCAUUAGGACCAGAGUAUAUGCUCAGAAAACUACUUUGGGGAAAUGAAACAGGCCAAAAUCUUCAUUAAAAAGUUGAAGGGAAACUAAGUCUCUUUUGAGAAUUGAAAUCCUGUCAAGUCUCCACGGUUGUUGCAAUUUCCUCAAAUUUUUGGUAGCAAGCUGGAAUUUCAAUUUCAAAUCUUGCCAACUUAAGCUGUGUAUUUUUUGUGUUACUGCCCAGCAUACAAGUGGCCUUCAAAAGUUCAUAGAUGGGGCCAGCUCUGUGGCUUAGCAGGUAAAGCUAUCACCUGCAGUGCUGGCAUCCCGUAUGGGUGCCAAUUCCAGUCCCAGCUACUCCACUUCCGAUCCAACUCUCUGCUAUGGCCUGGGAAGCAGCAGAAGAUGGCUCAAGUCCUUGGGCCCCUGCACCCACAUAGGAGACCCAGAAAAAGCUCCUGGGUCCUGGCUCCUGGCUUCAGAUCAGAGCAGUUUUAGCCAUUGCGGCCAUAUGGGGAGUGAAUAGGUGGAUGAAAGACCUCUCUUUCUCUCUCUCUCUGUGCCUAUCCUUCUCUCUGUGUAACUCUAACUUUCAAUUAAAUAAAUAAAUCUUUAAAAAAAUUUCAUAGACAAUUUGUGGACUUCAAAGUUGUUUUGCACCACAAUAGACAUCUUUUUACAAUAAAUGCCUUUGUCAUAGAUUGCCUUGAUUGUGUUGAGGAAUGUUCCUUCUAUACCCAGUUUGCUUAAGGUUUUCAUUAUGAAAGGAUGUUGUAGUUUAUCAAAUGCUUUCUCUGCAUCUUUUGAGGUAAUCAUAUAGUUUUUGUUCUGCAAUGUCUUUAUUUUUACUUAUUGACAAGCAGAGAGACAGACAAAGAAACAGAUAGGCAGCUAGAAUAGAUUUUCUAUCAGUUGAUUCACUCCCCAAAUGCCUGCAACAGUGAGGGCUGGGUCAGGACUAAAGCAGGAGCCAGCAACUCAAUCAGGGUCUCCCAUAUGAGUGGCAGGAACCCAAGUACCUGAGCCAUCACCUGCUGCCUUCCAGGGUGCACAUUAGCAGGAAGUGAGAAUGUGGAGCAGAUUCAGGACUUAAUCUAGGCAUUCUAAACACGGGAUGUGGCAUCCCAAGUGAUGUUUUAACUGCUCUGUCAAAUGCCUGCCCCAGAUUGGUCUUUUAAUUUCAUUUUCACACAAACCCUUUGAAGUACUCUUGUACAGUACAAGCAUACAAGCAUCUUAAAUGGCAAGGACAAUCUUCUACUUUUUUUUUUUUUUUUUUGACAGGCAGAGUGGAC